CUGGCAGUUUGGCGGAGUGGUUAACGCGGUAGCCUCGAAUGAGUCGUUUCACGACUUCCGAAAGCUACUUCCCUCGGGAGCGCAGGUUCGAAUCCUGCAGCUGUCGU
rnacentral:tRNA from 1 species